AUGUUUCCCAGAAAAGGAAAAGGCUUCCGGUCAGGCCAAGGCCAUAGAUGCCCCCUGACACUGGUCAGCAUCUCGCUGGUAUGUGAACCCAAGAGGCUGGGACCCUCACUAAGUGACCUGCUGGAUCAAAGGCAGUCACCACUGUCUACCUGGUGGCAGGUUCCCAAAUUGCAGCAGGGGGCCGAGGACUGGGGGGGAUUAGCCAAGUCCAAGAUGCUGGAAAUUCCUUGCAUCCCUCUCGGGGUACCUGCCAGUUUGCAAAGCUCUCUCCAUGGGGCAGAGCCCAGCUGGCUGAGGGACAAACGCAGAUGCCCUGGCACGUCUGCAGAGCCUGCUUCAUGGGCGCAGUCAGGGGGCCGCAGGAGUGAAGUCAGAUCCUGGUGGGUCAGGUUCAAAGGGAUGCUUGUGACGGGUGGAAAGGGUAGAAACGGGUCUGGGGUUGCUGACCCAGCUGGGAGGCACUGGGCCUGGCAGCAAAGGCCUUCUCGUCCAGCAGCCGUGCUCAAAGGGCGGGAAGACUCCAGGAUGAGGCAGAACUCAGAGCUGGAAGGUGGUGGCACCAUAUUUUUGAACAUUUAUGGUGUGCUAGGCAGUUUUCUAAGCCCAGUGGACACAGGGGAAAACAAGAUGGUGAGGCCUCUACACACAGGGAGCCGGGUGGCCUGGCAGAGCCUUGCUAACCAUGGGAAAUGCCUGGAUUUUAUUCCAAGUGCAGUUGGGAGUCUCAGAAGUAGUUUUUUGUUUUUGAGUGUGUUUUUGUUUUUGUUGGUUUCUUUUUACAGCCAAAACUGUGGCACAUGAUAGUUCCUAGGUGAGGGGUCGAAUCAGAGCUGUAGCGCCAGCCUACACCGCAGCCACAGCAACGCCAGGUCCAAGCUGAGUCUGCGACCUACAUCACCGCUCACUGGCAAAGCCAGAUCCUUAACCCACUGAGCGAGGUCCGGGAUUGAACCUGAAUCCGCAUGGGUACUAGUCGGGUUCAUUACCACUGAGCCACGACAGGAACUGCUAGAGACUUUAUCUGGAUUCACUGUUUUUCCACAAGUAUCCCUUUCCUGUUUCAGGAUCCAAUUCAGGACUUAUCAGUGCAUUUAGUCACCAGUCUAUUCGGUUUUCUCCCAACUGGGUGGCUAGGUCUCCGUCUCUCCUUGUCAGCAGGGGUGGUCUAGCCAGGUUUACUUUUGGAAAGGCUCUCCCUGGCUAGGACAAUGACCUUGGGCCCCGAGUGCACAAUUUGGGGUGAUCACAAGCGUCAAGGUGAGAAAGGAGGGUAGCUGAGGCGGGGGAAGGGAGGAGGCGGAUGAGAAGCAGGCAGAGCAUCGUGGGACGUCAGUCCCUCAGGCAACAAAAAUGCCACUCUGAAGUGCGGCUUGGUGUGUGGUUCCAGCUCCUCGCUGGAUGCUGGGAGCUCAAGACUCCAGGGACCCCCGCUCAGAGAGUUUAGAGGAGGCAGAGGUGUCACAGUGCGAGAAGAGGGAAUCUUAAGCAUGGCCUUUAUUUUAUUUUAUUUUAUUUUAUUUUAUUUUUGCGGCCACACCCACAGCAUGGGGAGUUUCCCAGCAAGGGAAUGACCUAAGCCACAGCAGUGACAACACCGGAUCCUUACCCGCUAGGCCACCAGGGUUCGAGCACAGUUUUUAAUGAAGGCAGUUGUGGCUCCUUCAAGAUGAGGCCACAAUACCCUUUACCUCCUUCCUAAAGCACAAGCCCAGGGACAUGCGAACAAGCUGGUGGCCACCACAAGCUUGGUGACCAAGGGACAGAGGCAGGUGGAAGGUGACACCAAGAUCAUGGAGGCCCC
ensembl:lncRNA